rnacentral:rRNA from 1 species
GGGUUGUGAGGUUAAGCGACUAAGCGUACACGGUGGAUGCCCUGGCAGUCAGAGGCGAUGAAGGACGUGCUAAUCUGCGAUAAGCGUCGGUAAGGUGAUAUGAACCGUUAUAACCGGCGAUUUCCGAAUGGGGAAACCCAGUGUGAUUUGUCACACUAUCAUUAACUGAAUCCAUAGGUUAAUGAGGCGAACCGGGGGAACUGAAACAUCUAAGUACCCCGAGGAAAAGAAAUCAACCGAGAUUCCCCCAGUAGCGGCGAGCGAACGGGGAGGAGCCCAGAGCCUGAAUCAGUGUGUGUGUUAGUGGAAGCGUCUGGAAAGGCGCGCGAUACAGGGUGACAGCCCCGUACACAAAAAUGCACAUGCUGUGAGCUCGAUGAGUAGGGCGGGACACGUGGUAUCCUGUCUGAAUAUGGGGGGACCAUCCUCCAAGGCUAAAUACUCCUGACUGACCGAUAGUGAACCAGUACCGUGAGGGAAAGGCGAAAAGAACCCCGGCGAGGGGAGUGAAAAAGAACCUGAAACCGUGUACGUACAAGCAGUGGGAGCACGCUUCGGCGUGUGACUGCGUACCUUUUGUAUAAUGGGUCAGCGACUUAUAUUCUGUAGCAAGGUUAACCGAAUAGGGGAGCCGAAGGGAAACCGAGUCUUAACUGGGCGUUAAGUUGCAGGGUAUAGACCCGAAACCCGGUGAUCUAGCCAUGGGCAGGUUGAAGGUUGGGUAACACUAACUGGAGGACCGAACCGACUAAUGUUGAAAAAUUAGCGGAUGACUUGUGGCUGGGGGUGAAAGGCCAAUCAAACCGGGAGAUAGCUGGUUCUCCCCGAAAGCUAUUUAGGUAGCGCCUCGUGAAUUCAUCUCCGGGGGUAGAGCACUGUUUCGGCAAGGGGGUCAUCCCGACUUACCAACCCGAUGCAAACUGCGAAUACCGGAGAAUGUUAUCACGGGAGACACACGGCGGGUGCUAACGUCCGUCGUGAAGAGGGAAACAACCCAGACCGCCAGCUAAGGUCCCAAAGUCAUGGUUAAGUGGGAAACGAUGUGGGAAGGCCCAGACAGCCAGGAUGUUGGCUUAGAAGCAGCCAUCAUUUAAAGAAAGCGUAAUAGCUCACUGGUCGAGUCGGCCUGCGCGGAAGAUGUAACGGGGCUAAACCAUGCACCGAAGCUGCGGCAGCGACACUAUGUGUUGUUGGGUAGGGGAGCGUUCUGUAAGCCUGUGAAGGUGGCCUGUGAGGGUUGCUGGAGGUAUCAGAAGUGCGAAUGCUGACAUAAGUAACGAUAAAGCGGGUGAAAAGCCCGCUCGCCGGAAGACCAAGGGUUCCUGUCCAACGUUAAUCGGGGCAGGGUGAGUCGACCCCUAAGGCGAGGCCGAAAGGCGUAGUCGAUGGGAAACAGGUUAAUAUUCCUGUACUUGGUGUUACUGCGAAGGGGGGACGGAGAAGGCUAUGUUGGCCGGGCGACGGUUGUCCCGGUUUAAGCGUGUAGGCUGGUUUUCCAGGCAAAUCCGGAAAACUAAGGCUGAGGCGUGAUGACGAGGCACUACGGUGCUGAAGCAACAAAUGCCCUGCUUCCAGGAAAAGCCUCUAAGCAUCAGGUAACAUCAAAUCGUACCCCAAACCGACACAGGUGGUCAGGUAGAGAAUACCAAGGCGCUUGAGAGAACUCGGGUGAAGGAACUAGGCAAAAUGGUGCCGUAACUUCGGGAGAAGGCACGCUGAUAUGUAGGUGAAGCGACUUGCUCGUGGAGCUGAAAUCAGUCGAAGAUACCAGCUGGCUGCAACUGUUUAUUAAAAACACAGCACUGUGCAAACACGAAAGUGGACGUAUACGGUGUGACGCCUGCCCGGUGCCGGAAGGUUAAUUGAUGGGGUUAGCGGUAACGCGAAGCUCUUGAUCGAAGCCCCGGUAAACGGCGGCCGUAACUAUAACGGUCCUAAGGUAGCGAAAUUCCUUGUCGGGUAAGUUCCGACCUGCACGAAUGGCGUAAUGAUGGCCAGGCUGUCUCCACCCGAGACUCAGUGAAAUUGAACUCGCUGUGAAGAUGCAGUGUACCCGCGGCAAGACGGAAAGACCCCGUGAACCUUUACUAUAGCUUGACACUGAACAUUGAGCCUUGAUGUGUAGGAUAGGUGGGAGGCUUUGAAGUGUGGACGCCAGUCUGCAUGGAGCCGACCUUGAAAUACCACCCUUUAAUGUUUGAUGUUCUAACGUUGACCCGUGAUCCGGGUUGCGGACAGUGUCUGGUGGGUAGUUUGACUGGGGCGGUCUCCUCCUAAAGAGUAACGGAGGAGCACGAAGGUUGGCUAAUCCUGGUCGGACAUCAGGAGGUUAGUGCAAUGGCAUAAGCCAGCUUGACUGCGAGCGUGACGGCGCGAGCAGGUGCGAAAGCAGGUCAUAGUGAUCCGGUGGUUCUGAAUGGAAGGGCCAUCGCUCAACGGAUAAAAGGUACUCCGGGGAUAACAGGCUGAUACCGCCCAAGAGUUCAUAUCGACGGCGGUGUUUGGCACCUCGAUGUCGGCUCAUCACAUCCUGGGGCUGAAGUAGGUCCCAAGGGUAUGGCUGUUCGCCAUUUAAAGUGGUACGCGAGCUGGGUUUAGAACGUCGUGAGACAGUUCGGUCCCUAUCUGCCGUGGGCGCUGGAGAACUGAGGGGGGCUGCUCCUAGUACGAGAGGACCGGAGUGGACGCAUCACUGGUGUUCGGGUUGUCAUGCCAAUGGCACUGCCCGGUAGCUAAAUGCGGAAGAGAUAAGUGCUGAAAGCAUCUAAGCACGAAACUUGCCCCGAGAUGAGUUCUCCCUGACUCCCUGAGAGUCCUGAAGGAACGUUGAAGACGACGACGUUGAUAGGCCGGGUGUGUAAGCGCAGCGAUGCGUUGAGCUAACCGGUACUAAUGAACCGUGAGGCUUAACCUUACAACGCCGAAG